rnacentral:rRNA from 1 species
CGAAAGCCCCGCAAGGGGUAAGUAGAGUGGCAAACGGGUGAGUAACACGUGGGUGACCUGCCUUCGAGUGGGGGAUAACGUCCCGAAAGGGACGCUAAUACCGCAUAACAUCCUGCCUUUGAAGAGGUGGAGAUCAAAGCUGGGGACCGCAAGGCCUAGCGCUCAAAGAGGGGCCCGCGCCUGAUUAGCUAGUUGGUGGGGUAAUGGCUCACCAAGGCAACGAUCAGUAUCCGGCCUGAGAGGGCGGACGGACACACUGGGACUGAGACACGGCCCAGACUCCUACGGGAGGCAGCAGUGGGGAAUUGUUCGCAAUGGGCGCAAGCCUGACGACGCAACGCCGCGUGGAGGAUGAAGACCUUCGGGUCGUAAACUCCUUUCGAUCGAGACGAACAGCUUCCGGGUGAACAAUCCGGAGGUUUGACGGUACCNANAGAAGAAGCCCCGGCUAACUCCGUGCCAGCAGCCGCGGUAAUACGGGGGGGGCAAGCGUUGUUCGGAAUUACUGGGCGUAAAGGGCUCGUAGGUGGCCAACUAAGUCAGACGUGAAAUCCCUCGGCUUAACCGGGGAACUGCGUCUGAUACUGGAUGGCUUGAGUUCGGGAGAGGGAUGCGGAAUUCCAGGUGUAGCGGUGAAAUGCGUAGAUAUCUGGAGGAACACCGGUGGCGAAGGCGGCAUCCUGGACCGACACUGACACUGAGGAGCGAAAGCCAGGGGAGCAAACGGGAUUAGAUACCCCGGUAGUCCUGGCCCUAAACGAUGAAUGCUUGGUGUGGCGGGUAUCGAUCCCUGCCGUGCC